UACAGAGGUCUCAAGCGUUGUUCGGAUUCAUUGGGCGUAAAGGGUGCGUAGGUGGCGCUGUAAGUCGGGUGUGAAAUUUCGGAGCUUAACUCCGAAACUGCAUUCGAUACUGCGGUGCUUGAGGACUGGAGAGGAGACUGGAAUUCAUGGUGUAGCAGUGAAAUGCGUAGAUAUCAGGAGGAACACCAGUGGCGAAGGCGGCUUUCUGGACGGUAACUGACGCUGAGACGCGAAAGCGUGGGGAGCAAACAGG
rnacentral:rRNA from 1 species